rnacentral:rRNA from 1 species
GACGAACGCUGGCGGCGUGCUUAACACAUGCAAGUCGAGCGGUAAGGCCCUUUCGGGGGUACACGAGCGGCGAACGGGUGAGUAACACGUGGGUGACCUGCCCUCAGCUCUGGGAUAAGCCCGGGAAACUGGGUCUAAUACCGGAUAUGACUCCACGGUGCAUGUCGUGGGGUGAAAGCCUUGUGCGGCUGAGGAUGGGCCCGCGGCCUAUCAGCUUGUUGGUGGGGUGAANGGGCCUACCAAGGCGACGACGGGUAGCCGGCCUGAGAGGGCGACCGGCCACACUGGGACUGAGACACGGCCCAGACUCCUACGGGAGGCAGCAGUGGGGAAUCUUGCGCAAUGGGCGAAAGCCUGACGCAGCGACG